CCAGGCAGUGCUGUGUUCUCAAGCAGGUGGGAGAGGGCUCUGGUGGUUUUUUUGCCAUAGAGCUUACACACUGUUUCCUUUUCAGGAAGAUGAGACUAAGCCAGAAGACUGUAUACCAGAUGUCCCAGGCAAUGAACAUGCCAGGGAGUUUCUGGCCCACGCACCAACCAAAGGACUUUGGAUGCCACUGGGGAAUGAAGUCAAAGUCAUGCAGUGUUGGCGCUGUAAACGGUAUGGCCACCGAACGGGCGACAAAGAAUGCCCUUUCUUUAUCAAAGGCAACCAAAAGUUAGAACAGUUCAGAGUAGCACAUGAAGAUCCCAUGUAUGACAUCAUUCGUGAGAAUAAAAGACAUGAAAAGGAUAUAAGGAUACAACAGUUAAAACAGUUAGUGGAGGAUUCAACAUCAGAUGAUGAUGGGAGCAGCUCCAGUUCCUCAGAAGAUAAAGAGAAACACAAGAAAAAGAAGAAGAAAGAAAAGCAUAAGAAGAAGAAGAAAGAAAAGAAGAAGAAGAAGAAGAAAGAAAAGAAGAAGAAGAAGAAGAAAGAAAAGAAGAAGAAGAAAAAACGAAAGCAUAAGUCUUCCAAGUCAAAUGAGAGUUCGGACUCAGAAUGACGGGAGCCUGGCUUGUUCAACAUUCUCUUCUCUAAAACCAAACACUGUGGCCAAAGAUGAGAGGACCCGUGGAGGAAGAUGGAGUCGGAGAGGAACAGGAGAGAGAGAGACGCCCAAAGGGAAGACGUGUGGUGUCCCAGGUGCAGGUUCUCACCUGCUUCCAGGGAGGAUGUGAGUUGUGUGUUGCCAGGUGCUAGCUCUGGACACGCCUGACUUCAGGCUGGACAGCUUUUCCCCUUGUGCUCCUCUCUGCUGAUCCCCGUGGGUCCCAACUCCUUAGAAGCGCCUCGGGCAGGGCGGCCAGAUGAAGGGAGGCUCUGGGGAGCUUCUCCAGGUGCGGCCGCAGGUUCCACCUCCAGGGGGGAGCUACUUGUGCCCACAGAGCUCAGGCUUGACUUCCCUCUGCUGCUGAGGAUAAUAAAAGCUCACUAU